UCAGGAAGCUGAAGUCAGAAAUGGG
rnacentral:misc_RNA from 1 species